CACAGCCUGCUAGUUUAUUAUUUCAUGACUUCCGUCCUCACUCCUCUCUCCUCUCUCCUCUCUGCCCCAGAAUUCACUGUCGCAUGACCAAUGUCGCUGAAGCUGCUUUGAUUUACUGAUGGAGAAAAUGUUUACAGAAAGUCAGCGGAAAAAAAAAGAAAAAGAAAGUCAGCGGACACGCAGUCUCUGCAAAUUCCUCAAGGAUAGAAACAGGUCUAAUUCACUGAAUCCCCAUACUUUUUCCGACAUGGAACGUUCCCUGCAGGACUGAACAUAAAGUAGGUGCUCAUGCGGCUACUAGACAAUGUAAAAUGACGAAUUACUGUGGGACGGUGCUGUUGUAAAGACACCAGCCCUACACGGCCCCAGGACGUCCUGAUCUACGCUCUCAUUUUCCCUCUCAGCUCCUA